AAUUCCUAUGAAGCAAAUCCAUAAAGGGGGGCCAUGGAGGCUCAAAGACCACGGGAAGGCGGCAGCUCGGACUAGUCGGCUCGAGGGGAGACAGAUGUAGUGCUGUCGCUCUACCAGCCAUUGUGAAGAGCAGAUGGCCUUGAGGAUAGAUGCUGGGCUGCAGGUGGAAGAGCUCAUGUUCUCUAAUGACAUCACAGAUACCACGGAAUCCAUCAUUCCGAAGGCCACGGAGGAAUUUGCUCUGUUUCCAGCCCUCUCAAUCAACCCCAAUUUUGUUUCUACCCUCCAGUUUAGUGUAUAAUUAUUCAAAUUAGCGAUGAAUCUCUUUGGCAACAAAUUGAACCUCUGCAGAAAAUGAACCAAGAGCCAUAAAGAGAAAAUAGAAGCUGAAUUUUUAGCCUUUGAAUCAAUCUGGGCUUUUUGAAAAACCAAACAAAAGACCAGAGCCUCUCCAAAUUACUGAUUUACACAACAAUGUCCUCGCAGCUGAUGUUUUUCCAGAGUUAACUAACAGCUUGUAGCUCUUUUCUUCUCGCACGGAAAUAGAUCAGAUGAACUGGACCUGUUCCUUAAAUACAUUUGUUUGGGCAGCUCCUUCCAUCACUGAAGAUUAACCCCCCAUCUGUAUAAUAACUUGGAUGAUAAACAUGCCCGUUUUUCUGGGUAGAAAACCAGAUUCCCAUGAGUGUCCCAGGCUGAGAUCAAUUGUCAGGCUGCCUGCCAAUGAUGGACGGUUAGCCCAGUUUCCAGUAGCAAUACUUCGGACUCCAUACUUUAAAAGUAAACAGUUGAAAUAACAGUCUCCGAUGCCUCUCCAAUAAAGUCCAUUCCUGAGCAGAUA